GACGAACGCUGGCGGCGUGCCUAAUACAUGCAAGUCGAGCGGACAGAAGGGAGCUUGCUCCCGGAUGUUAGCGGCGGACGGGUGAGUAACACGUGGGUAACCUGCCUGUAAGACUGGGAUAACUCCGGGAAACCGGAGCUAAUACCGGAUAGUUCCUUGAACCGCAUGGUUCAAGGAUGAAAGACGGUUUCGGCUGUCACUUCCAGAUGGACCCGCGGCGCAUUAGCGAGUUGGUGGGGUAAUGGCUCACCAAGGCGACGAUGCGUAGCCGACCUGAGAGGGUGAUCGGCCACACUGGGACUGAGACACGGCCCAGACUCCUACGGGAGGCAGCAGUAGGGAAUCUUCCGCAAUGGACGAAAGUCUGACGGAGCAACGCCGCGUGAGUGAUGAAGGUUUUCGGAUCGUAAAGCUCUGUUGUUAGGGAAGAACAAGUGCGAGAGUAACUGCUCGCACCUUGACGGUACCUAACCAGAAAGCCUCGGCUAACUACGUGCCAGCCGCCGCAGUAAAAC
rnacentral:rRNA from 1 species